AAACACCCGAAUAGACUACAAUCAACCCAUUAAAAGGUGGAAAUAAUUUUACCAAUCAAACCAUUCAUGUGCGGUCUUCCUCUCGCCGCAUAUGUGGUACGUCAUCCUUUGAAUGGCGAUUCUGAACCACACGUCAUACUGUGAUUUUGGUCGAUUUUUUUUUAAUGAUUGCGCAUGUUCACCAUAGAAGCCAAAACCAACAAAUUUCGCAUGAGUUUUUAGUUCAAAUCCUGUGUUUCGCAGAAAAUAGAUUUUUGAUCGGCAGUGUACCGUGUUCUAUUUACAGAAUUUCAAUAGCUCCUUGGUCAUGUGACCUGGUGUGACCUGGACCUCGCAAUAACCAUCUUUCACAUGGACACUGAAAAGAUGUGCAAAUGGCUGUAUGUGGUAUGGAUCAAGGACAGGAGAGGUGUUCAAACAGAGGUGCUUAAAGGAAGGCGCACAGUAUCUGCAUGAACCAUCAGGCCAAGUGUUUUUGAUUGACCCUGCUGGACAGAAAGAGAAGGAGGAAUCGGAACACGCUGCAUUCAAAUUCAGAACUGGAUUGGUUACUAUGGGUGUUCACUUAACACCUUCUGUAACACCCGGCGCAGCAAAGCUGCUGGUUAUAAGCGCAGUGUGUCUGCCUACAAUUUAUUUUCCGCAGAGGUGCUGAAGGGGAAAGAGUGGAGCCUGGUGAAAUGGAUGCUGAGGAGGCCAGUGUCAGAGGAGUACAGUGAGCAGGUCGAUAUGUAGGGGUGCAGGAGGUCCGUAAGGUAUUUGGGCGCCAGUCCAUUGAGUGCUUUGCAGGUGAGCAUGAGCAGUUUGAAUGUGAUCCUGUAUUGAUCAAGUAAGCCUAAAUAGCUCACUAUUGAGCUAUUAUCACCACGACAAUAGACACUUAUCACCACGACAAUAUCCUCUUUUAUGGUUGACAUCAGUAUACAAUAUUGUCAUCUCCGGUGACCUGACAAACCUCAGUGGCAGUUGGAGGAGAUUCCAGAAGAUGGCUGAGGAGUUCAGAGAGUCAAGAGAUAAAGGACAGAUGACUGAAGGCGUUAGGGCAAGAAGAGUUGAUGACUACGUAAGCCCAGGUUAAUACAUUUCCUAUUAAGUUGUCCGAUUUGAGGAUCUGGGGUUGGAGGCUGUUGUCCUCAUCUUGAAGAAACAUGGAGAAGACAAGGAGGUGCAGUAUCUGGCCACUAGUGGAGCGCAACAGUUUGUCAUGAGAACAGGUAAAGUAUUAUUGUAAAGCAUACUAAAAGCCAGUCAUUGUAAUGCAUGUUUCACAAGAUGUUGGCAAGACCUAUGUGGUUGCUGUGUUGCGUGUUUUCCUACGCAUAUUUGCCAUACAUACCAAUAAUAAUGUGGGUGCUUAUACUGGUCCUAAUGUAUGUUAUGUUACAUGUCAUUCUGCACCAUGUUCUUUUAAAUGUUCAUGGGUGUGAACACAACUGGACCACUGGAGGGACGGAGGAGCCGAGCAGAUCGAAUUCAGACCUUUCUUGAUAGUUGUAACUCAACAAUAGUCCUCUUGCCGAUUGCUCCAGUCCCCCCCAGAAGUGGCGAGGGCCAGCUGGGCCUCAGAGGACAUCCGGGGCCCCCCAGACCCCUAGUUCAAUCUACAGCUGAUCGGCCGACCUUUGUGGUUUCUUCUGGGUAUCCUGCCUUGGAGACUUUUCUGGGGCUGCCUGCCUUGAGUGGACACCCCGGGGCCCCAGGCCCUGCAGUUUCUGGGUCAGCGGGACCCAUAACUGACACUCUUGCCCAGGUCAUGCUGGUGUCAGAUGUGAGUCCUAAAAAUGUGGUUGUUUGCUUUUUGUUUUUAAUGUUGGGAAUUUAGUCACAAAAAAAUAUGUUCAGUGUCCAGUAUCUUGAAAUGAAAUGCAAUGCUUCUAUCUCAUGAGAAGAACUGAUCUACCUGCUGUUUAUGUGAGACAAAGAUUCAUGAAAGUAAAAUUAAUUGCUUUGUGUAGUUCUGCAUGUGAUAGUAUUUAACUGCAUGGCAGUACACGUUAGUAUUUUAGUACAUUUCAUAACUAUACAUUAGAUAUGCAGUUCAAAAUACUGAUAAUAAAGAUGAUUAAAAUGUUUAAACAUAAUCUGCCCAUUUCUUUGUUUUUGGUGUUAUAUCAGUCUUUGUAUUGCUCAUACCAACUGAGCCAUAUGUUUAAAACUGUCAGUCCUUGCAUACUGGUCCAGAUGGAAUAAAAUGUACUGUACAUGUUGGUAUAAUACUCUGGCAGAAUAUAUUCUGGAAGGAGUAGGCAUAGUAGCACACUAACUUUACUCUGGUCACUGUCCUUAUUGACAUUUACUUAAAGGGCUGUGAAAACAAUGAAAAUGCCACAAUAUAUUUAGGGAUGCAAAAAACAGAUAGGAAUCAUGUGUUCAUCUAUAGAGAUGGAUGUAGCAUCUUCCUUUCCCAAUCUGUUGGCAAAUGACUUUAAACUGCAUGUGUCUUACAUGGUGAUUUAGGAGGUUAGCUGUGGACUGAACCCUUUUACAGGGGCUGAGUCACUGGCCUACUGGUGUUCUUCCAUGCCGUCCAUGGGAGGGGUGCGUCACUUGAGUGGGUUGAGUCACUGACGUGGUC